UACGUAGGAGGCGAGCGUUGUCCGGAGUUACUGGGCGUAAAGCGCACGCAGGCGGUCUGCUAAGUUUGGAGUGACAGUUGGUGGCUUAACUGCCAAAGUGCUUCGAAAACUGACAGACUUGAGGGCUUCAGAGGGACACGGAAUUCCGGGUGGAGUGGUGAAAUGCGUAGAGACCCGGAGGAACACCAGUGGCGAAGGCGGCUUCCUGGUCUGCGACUGACGCUGUGGCGCGAAAGCUAGGGGAGCAAACGGG
rnacentral:rRNA from 1 species